CAGGAUCCUCGCUGUAAACUGGAGAAACUGUGGUUGUAUAAUUGUGGCGUCACAGAUGAAGGUUGUGCUGCUCUGACUUCAGCUCUGAGAUCAAACCCCUCACACCUGAGAGAACUGAAUCUGUCUCUGAAUAAACUAAGAGAUUCAGUGAAGCUGCUUUCUGAUGUACUACAGGAUCCUCGCUGUAAACUGGAGAAACUGUGGUUGUAUAAUUGUGACGUCACAGAUGAAGGUUGUGCUGCUCUGACUUCAGCUCUGAGAUCAAACCCCUCACACCUGAGAGAACUGAAUCUGUCUUACAAUAAACUAAGAGAUUCUAGUAGGAAGUUACUUUCUGAUCUGGAGAUGGAUCCACAUUAUAAACUGGAGACAUUACUCUAUUGACUCUCAGUGUUUAGACGUCAGUUCAGUUUCCUCAGGAUCAGCUGAUGGUGAAUAAGGAGCCGCUUCAGAGACGUCACAGACACACAAUCAACACAGACUGUGUGAUGGGGACACAAGAAUUUAGAGAUGUUCAUUUUCCUGACCGACUCCCUACGCUCGUUAUCUCAUUAUUGACUGUUGACAAAAUUAGAAUGUUACAUUAGAUUUAAAUUAAAUUAUAUAAUAAUCUGUAUGUCCAAAAUUCGUUUUCACUGUAAUAAGGAAAACUAAAAAUCAAGUGAUUGCAAACGGAUCUCGUGGGAAACUUUUGUGUUCGUGCAGAAUGAGAUGUUGAUAUAUUUCUCUUUAAAUACUUUUUAUUUCUAAAUGUUUAUAUGUUGUUUAUAACAAAUAAUUUUAUAGCUGCUUAUAUUUUCUGCUUUGUAUUUUCCUCUGGUCUGAAUACUGUAAAAUUUAAAGGAUUCGAAAAUGAUUUUUUCUUCUCUCAACACAAUUUUGACUGAUAUGUGUACAGCAGAUAUUUUAUAUGUAUUUUUUUAUCCAUGCAGCAAAUGUUUUUCAAACAUGUUUAAAAAAAAGCUUUGGGGAGAAAAUAAGUUUUUAAUCUUUAUAAGUAAAACAUUGUCAUGAAUUUGCAAACCAAUGUACAACCAGCUGGGAACAAAAGAGCUUGCUGUAAUUGACUAAAUUCAGAUUGCUGUUAUACAUGUAUUGCAAAUGAAUA